rnacentral:rRNA from 1 species
GACAGAGGGUGCAACCGUUGUUCGGAAUUACUGGGCGUAAAGCGAGUGUAGGCGGUCCGAAAAGUCAGGUGUGAAAGCCCUGGGCUCAACCCAGGAAGUGCACUUGAAACUGCCGGGCUAGAGUACUGGAGAGGUUGGUGGAAUUCUCGGUGUAGAGGUGAAAUUCGUAGAUAUCGAGAGGAACACCGGUGGCGAAGGCGGCCAACUGGACAGAUACUGACGCUGAGACUCGAAAGCGUGAGGAGCAAACAGG